rnacentral:lncRNA from 1 species
GUCAGAUGCUAACAAGCAUAUCAGUGGUUCGUGGGCUGAACUCUGAAAUGAUGGGCCCCGUUUUCCUUUUGCUCCUGGUAAUCCUUGGUUUAGUGCAACUUACGACACUAAGGACUGUGGUUCUCACUCAGAUUACAUGAAGGAAACAUUCAUCCUGCUAGAACCUGGUGCCUCUCCAGGGAAACAUGCCAGUCCACAGUGCCACAAGGGGUGAGGGAGAACACAGAUGUCUUCAAGAACAAAAGAGCAGCAGGAAGAAACUAGUCCUAAAAUGUCAAGGAUGAAAAAAGCAAAUCAGUCCUUUAUUGGGUGGAAUAUCUCAACCGGAAGCACUGCCCUCUCUGAUCAACAUUGUGGCAAAGCCACGAAGCCCAGCACCAAUUCAGAUAAAACAGCUGCAAAAAUAGAGGCUGCUCCAACCUUGAAACCUAAGGCAAAUCAUAAUUUAAAAUUUAAAAAAAAAAUCUCUGAAAUGAAUCCAUUUCCCCUCCGUUUACAAUAACAACUUUUCACUUGAAUUAUGCAUCGCCACGACUAUUUGAAUUACAAAUGUAUGAAUUAUUCAUUAUCUGCAACGUGAGUGAGUGUUUUGGUCCCACUUGUUGAAAGCCAGUGCUAAGCCUGCCUGGGCUCUGGCUGGCAAGGGGAGGGUGGCAUCUGGGGACCCCGGGAGGCAGUUGCCCUUCAGAACCCUCCUCCACCAGGGUAAAGAGUGGAAGGCGACAUUAUACCGUACGGAGUUGUCCACUCUGACCUCCUUGUAUCGUAAAAUGUCCCCGUCGUCUCCCGGCUCCCCAGCCUGUAACAGCUGCUACCCACUGGCAUCACCUACAUUUUAAACCAGCUGGAGACAGAGUUCUACGUGAUAAGCCUGUUAUAUUUGCAGAGUAAGCAGGAACACCUAAUGGCUCGGCCCCCUAACGAUUCUGGGACUGGCCUCUGACAGGCCACAGCAGCGCGCACUGGCAAAGCAGAGGAAAAAAUAAUUAAAAGAGCCUUUGUCAAAGCUCCCUCUCAAUCAACCUUUUAAAUGCGCUCGGUUUAAGAGUCCCAAAGUGCCAAUUCAAUCACACUGGCCUCUAAGAACCACAGAAACCCCCAGGAUAGCCAUGGCCAAUUAGUCAAGCAAGAGGAGAGUGCGUGUACGUGUGUGUGCGUGCAUGUGUGUGGAUAUGUUCAGAGAAUCAACACAGAUGCUGGAAGAGCCCCCUGGAGAGAGGGCAGAGUGACCCCCAAACAGAGCUGAACUGUGCUUUCCUUGUUUGGGAGAUUGAAACAAAGCAAAAGGGAACAAUUAGAAAGACGGUAGUAAAUACUGACACUGAUGAUAAAAUAGAGGGCAAAGAUUAGCACACAGCGGACCCUUACAAGGGUGAGACUAAAACUAGUAUUCUUGAUGUAAUCCACAAAGAAGGAAAGCAAACCAGCCCAAGCGCAUGCCUUGUGGAGGACGGGGCAGGGGAACGGGGAGAGACAGAUAAAAGAAGAAAACACGCGAGAUG